rnacentral:tRNA from 1 species
GGCCGGUUGGCCCAAUGGCAAGGCGUCUGACUACGAUUCUUCUCUCCAAGGUCGUGCCAUCAGGAGAUUCUGGGUUCGACCCCCAGGCUGGUCA